CAGAUAUAUCGUAUACAUUUUGAUCUUUCAUUAUAGAUAUGGAGCUUUAUAUACUAUGUUAUACCCAAGUGAAUGUGUAGCACUUUGAGAUUUUGGAUAUGUGGAUGUAUGCUCCUAGCAACAGAACUUGGUGUGCACUUCAUCAUAGGUACACGCACAACUUGACGAAGAAUUUUGAAAAAUCUCAAGAUUACGAGAAAAUCAUGAGAUUCUUCAAUAAUAUCUCCACCAAGUAUGAAAAGAGGAAAGAGAGAUUAAGAGCCUUGAAUAGAUGGAUAAGUGUCUUCCCUCCAACUUCUUUACAAAAUUAAAACGUAAAUCAAUGUUGAAUUUUUAAGGGUUGCUUUUAGUACAUCAUUAUUUUCUCUGAGAUGAUCUGCAUAGUAACAAGGCUAAAAUGUGAAGAGCUGUUCUGUUCUCAUCUGUAUUGGCAAUGUAGACAAUGGAACCUUUAUUUGCAGCAUGCAUGGUGAAGUGAACUUUGUUUCUCCAAGAUCACAUAUACCAUCUCUAAAAGAAAGUAAACAAGACGAUUUUCAAUUUUACUUGUAAUUAAGCAUGGAUAAUUAAGCAUUCAUAAAACAUAUUCUCCUGCUCACAAUAUAUAUUACGUACUUUCAGAAAGAGACAUAUACUAUUUAUUCACUAUUAGCCGUUGAUCCGCAACUGAGCCUCCCUUCUAUCCAAACAGUCAAUAAGCCAAACAAGCAGCUUGCGAGGCAUUUCAUUGAUCAACCA
rnacentral:misc_RNA from 1 species